rnacentral:rRNA from 1 species
UACGAAGGGUGCAAGCGUUGUUCGGAAUCAUUGGGCGUAAAGCGAGUGUAGGCGGCUAAUUAAGUCAGAUGUGAAAUCCCUUGGCUCAACCAAGGAAGUGCAUUUGAAACUGGUUAGCUAGAAGAUGGUAGAGGAAGGUGGAAUUCCAAGUGUAGAGGUGAAAUUCGUAGAUAUUUGGAGGAAUACCUGAGGCGAAGGCGGCCUUCUGGGCCAUUCUUGACGCUGAGACUCGAAAGCGUGGGUAGCAAACAGG